rnacentral:rRNA from 1 species
AGUGAACGCUGGCGGUAGGCCUAACACAUGCAAGUCGAACGGCAGCACAGUAAGAGCUUGCUCUUACGGGUGGCGAGUGGCGGACGAGUGAGGAAUACAUCGGAAUCUACUUUUUCGUGGGGGAUAACGUAGGGAAACUUACGCUAAUACCGCAUACGACCUACGGGUGAAAGCAGGGGAUCUUCGGACCUUGCGCGAUUGAAUGAGCCGAUGUCGGAUUAGCUGGUUGGCGGGGUAAAGGCCCACCAAGGCGACGAUCCGUAGCUGGUCUGAGAGGAUGAUCAGCCACACUGGAACUGAGACACGGUCCAGACUCCUACGGGAGGCAGCAGUGGGGAAUAUUGGACAAUGGGCGAAAGCCUGAUCCAGCCAUACCGCGUGGGUGAAGAAGGCCUUCGGGUUGUAAAGCCCUUUUGUUGGGAAAGAAAAGCAGCAGGUUAAUACCCCGCUGUUCUGACGGUACCCAAAGAAUAAGCACCGGCUAACUUCGUG